rnacentral:rRNA from 1 species
AGAGUUUGAUUAUGGCUCAGGAUGAACGCUAGCGAUAGGCCUAACACAUGCAAGUCGAGGGGCAGCACAUGAAGUAGCAAUACGGAUGGUGGCGACCGGCGCACGGGUGAGUAACGCGUAUGCAACCUGCCUACAACAGGGGAAUAACCCGUUGAAAGACGGACUAAUACCCCAUAACACAGGGAUCCCGCAUGGGAAUAUUUGUUAAAGAUUUAUCGGUUGUAGAUGGGCAUGCGUUCCAUUAGCUGGUUGGUGAGGUAACGGCUCACCAAGGCAACGAUGGAUAGGGGAACUGAGAGGUUUAUCCCCCACACUGGUACUGGGGCACGGACCAGACUCCUACGGGAGGCAGCAGUGAGGAAUAUUGGUCAAUGGACGCAAGUCUGAACCAGCCACGUCGCGUGAAGGAAGACGGCCCUACGGGUUGUAAACUUCUUUUGUAAGGGAAUAAAGUGUAGUACGUGUACUAUUUUGCAUGUACCUUACGAAUAAGGAUCGGCUAACUCCGUGCCAGCAGCCGCGGUAAUACGGAGGAUCCGAGCGUUAUCCGGAUUUAUUGGGUUUAAAGGGUGCGCAGGCGGGAGAUUAAGUCGGCGGUGAAAUUUUGCAGCUCAACUGUAAAAGUGCCUUCGAAACUGGUUUCCUUGAGUGUGGAUGAAGUAGGCGGAAUUUGUGGUGUAGCGGUGAAAUGCAUAGAUAUCACGAGGAACUCCGAUUGCGCAGGCAGCUUACUAAACCAUAACUGACGCUCACGCACGAAGGCGUGGGGAUCAAACAGGAUUAGAUACCCUGGUAGUC